AAUGGCUGGUGAACCCACUGAAGCUAAGCAGGGCUGAGCCUGGUCAGUACCUGGAUGGGAGACCUCCUGGGAAAACUAGGUUGCUGCCGGAA
rnacentral:rRNA from 1 species